rnacentral:rRNA from 1 species
CACGUAGGCGGCCGGUCAAGUGCGAGGUGAAAGCCCACGGCUCACCCGUGGAAUUGCUUUGCAUACUGAUCGGCUGGAGUACUGGAGAGGAGAGCGGAACUCUUGGUGGAGCGGUGAAAUGCGUAGAUAUCAAGAGGAACACCAGAGGCGAAGGCGGCUCUCUGGCCAGUAACUGACGCUGAGGUGCGAAAGCCAGGGUAGCGAGC